rnacentral:rRNA from 1 species
UACGUAGGGGGCAAGCGUUGUCCGGAAUUAUUGGGCGUAAAGAGCGUGUAGGCGGUCCGGUAAGUCAGCUGUGAAAGUCAAGGGCUCAACCCUUGAAUGCCGGUUGAUACUGUCGGGCUAGAGUCCGGAAGAGGCGAGUGGAAUUCCCGGUGUAGCGGUGAAAUGCGCAGAUAUCGGGAGGAACACCAAUGGCGAAGGCAGCUCGCUGGGACGGUACUGACGCUGAGACGCGGAAGCGUGGGGAGCAAACAGG